rnacentral:rRNA from 1 species
UACGUAGGGUGCGAGCGUUAAUCGGAAUUACUGGGCGUAAAGUGUGCGCAGGCGGCCGCGCAAGUCGAGUGUGAAAGCCCCGAGCCUUAACUUGGGAAUUGGCGCUCGAAACUACGUGGCUGGAGUGUGGCAGAGGAAGGUGGAAUUCCACGUGUAGCGGUGAAAUGCGUAGAUAUCAGGAAGAACACCCGUGGCUAAGGCGGCUCUCUAGUACGGUACUGGACGCUGAGACGCGAAAGCCGUGGGGAGCGAA